AUGAGGAAGGGUAAGGGCGUGGCGGGGCACAGUCUUUGUCUUCCUUGCGUGUUGCUGGUGCGGCCGGUGGGGAGGCCGUCGAGCCGAGGUCCGCCCGUCGCCGUUGGCCCUCGCGCCCUUCACUUUGUCCCAGAGCCACCGUGUCUGCGGAGAUGCUCGCCGCUGUGGGCGAGGGUGGUGCCAGACGCAGGGAAAGGCCAGGGGACACGCACAACGAGACAGCAUCUGAACUUGGCAAAGUACGAAAGCUCCCCGCUUGCGAACUCUCUGGACCCCAGACUAGAGAACGCGAUGUCCCGAGCUGAGUCUCUGUGCCUAGAAUUGGGGGGCAGGGGGCGCACGGGCCUCGAAGGGCUACCAAGCUCCCGGCAGACCCGCCUCAGCCUGGGGCGCCCGCAACAGCGCCUCGGUCCCCCUGAGGCCGAGCAGAGGCUUCUUCACGCUCCUCCUGGUCCUUGGAGGAUCCGUUCAGCGCUCCAGGCGAGGGUGCGCCAGAAAGAGCAGCCUGGACGUUCCAAACCCUUCGAAGCAUCGCAGCGCUGUCAAGGCACCAACAGGUAAACCUCAGGCCAGAGAAGCCACAGGGGUUUCCAGCCACAGCGGCCAAGCUGAGCUCCAGCGUUUCAAGCAACCCCUUCAAGAAAGAGCCGACUUGGGGGUCCCCAUGCCGCUCACUCAGAGAACCAGCCCCUCUCGUCAAUUCCUUCUCCCAGCUGCGUGGGCAUUUGAUACCAGGUCCCCGAAGGGUGAGCCCUUGCACAGAGACCUCUCCGCCGUCCGCACCCCCGGACGAGGGCACGAUUUCAGAACACCUGCUCUCCUUGCCGUCACUUCUCCACGUGACUCCCAGCCCACGAGCCACCUCUGCAAAGGACCGAGGCCAGCAAACCUCUUCCUGAUGUACAACCAGUGGGACUCAGCUGCCUCCUGGACCGAUUCACUUCUCACAAAAUCAUCCUGACAGCCUCGCUUGCUGACCUCGGGGAACCCAGACUGAACCCGUUGCCUUGCCUUUGGGACCAGGAUGGGCGUUGUUUAAAGAUGGGCCCUGUAUCUCACUCCAGAUCAGAAUGUUUUCCUUUUAUAGCAUUUUAACAGCUUUUCCCAGAAAACAUCAGCCU
rnacentral:lncRNA from 1 species